GUAGACAAAUUCUGAUCACUGUAAUUUUCAUUCAGAUAAGCCUGAACAUAGGGCUAAUCAUUUAUAGCCUAGGCUUACAUGUUGAUAGCUACACAAAUGUGUUUGGUGAUUUAUGCAUGUGUAAUACAAGAGUAUAGUAUAAUAGACCUAGCCUAAUAUACGUCAUGGUGUAGCACAUUGUAUAAUAGCCUUUAUUUCAAUGCACUGUCCUACAACCAAAUCAAGAUUGACUCUUUCAAUUGAGCAUACUAAAACACAUAGACUAAACCUAAUAAAAACGGUCUAAAUCAAAGACUCCCCAAACACAAUCACAGCUCAACAAUGCUACAUAUUCUGAUGGAUAUACAGUUGUCCUUUAUUUGGGGUGAAACAACCAUAAAAGUUAGGCUAGGAGUCUUGCUUGUUUGCUUUGAUUGUGAAAGACCCCUCAUUUCUAAAACCACCCACUCAGAUCUCUGAUUGAGGCUCUACUCCAAUCAAUUGUGUGUGCUUACAUGGCGCAGUGUGAAAGUAACCAAUAGUCUGCCAUUAAGUGCCACAGCAGCGCAAAAUUGUAUUGGAUUUGUACCCGGUAUGUAAAAGGAUUUAAAAUGAACUGUAGGCCUACAUCGUGCCCUGCUUAUUCUGCGUAUUUGAGGUUCUUCCACCAGCUUAUUUGACAAAGGCAGAGUGGGGACAAUACUCCUACAUGCCGGGAAUAUUCCAUCAAGUCCAAUGGAAAACAAACGGCUGGUAACCCUGCUAAAUGCGUUUUCAAAGUAUAUAACUGAAGAGCAUAUGAUGGCGAUUGGGCUGGAUGGAAUGGAACAUGAGAGGACUGAGAGGUGCAAGAGCGGCCUGCUCCAGAGGGGCCUGAACGAGCUGAAACUACUGCAGAAGCCUUGCGGAGAAUUAUGCAAAAUACUGAAACAACACAGACAAAUAUGAUCCACUGACAAGGCUGUAAUGACACCAUAGACUACUGAACGGCGUGUGGAUGGCUUUUGCAAAUGUAGAUGCUGAAGUUAUAAAAAAUUCAUAAUACCAGAGCUGGUGUUCUACAAUCAAAGGAAGAGGCUACCCUAUGGAGGACAGCAACAACAGAUCUGAUGUUGAAUGAGGAGAACUCCAUCUUGGAUUGAAGGCAAAUGUGGGUGGUCUGGCCUCCAGCCCAUAGUACAGAACCAGAGAGAGCUACAGAACAUACUGGAUGCAGACCAGAAGUACCUUGGGAGGCGCCAUGCAUGGUUAAUGUGGAUGGAUUCACAAUGGACACCACAGCGUGAGGAGCUGUCUCCCUCUUGAGAAUGCUCACAAGUGAUCAGUGUUUCCUUUAUGCUCACUAAAAGCCUCUGUUAUGUUGUAUUACAUUAUAUUGUGUUACAUUAUAUCAUGUCAUGUGUAAUUGUACAUAGAUGUAUACUGCUAAUUUAUAUGUCUAAUAAUUGAUUUUAAACUGUAUUUUAUUAAUUUCUAAUAAAAGCAUUUGUGUAAUU